CUUCUGGAGUCUUCUAGAUAUAAGAUAAUUGCGCGGCACGUUGAUAUCUCUAUGUAAUUCCGACGUGUGGGCCUUUCUUCCUUAUUUCCUUAUAACCCCCUGCAGAAAUAGACAAACACCAAAACUCGUCGAAUUCUGUCACAUAAAACCCUAAGUCUAGAUGUUUAUUUGAUUUGGAUCCUUUUCUUUAUUUAUUUGAUAAUUAAAUUUGAUACUUAAGGACUGUCAACAAACUCCCCCAAGCUUACCUCUUGCUUGUCCCUGAGCAAGGAUUGAUUAGAAGUUGCUGCAAUACUUUUAAAAAUUGACGGUACACAUGCUCUUUAAAUAAAAUCUCAUCUCUGAGCUAGAGUAAACUGUCAAGACUUAAAACUUACUUACUUUACCUUUCACCAUGGGACUUGUAACCGUCACUUCUGUCUUGAGUAGUUAAAAGAUAGAACAAUCUAGUAAAGUGCCAUGUCUCUUAUUCUCGAUCAGCUAUAGCUCUGGAGUUUUUGCAGAUUUUCAAAUAAAACUCAAAGAUUCCUUUGUAUGACUCUCUCAAAUCUCUCUUUUGUGGUAUUUCUGGAUCCUUACCAAGGCAGUGAUGUUAUAUGCCUUCUCUCAAGAUAUGUGGUAUUUGUGGUAUAAGGCAUAGUAACAUUGCCUUCUCUCUCACCCUACUCUAAUAAGGCUUUUGAUAUCUGGAGCUCAUAGGUGGGAGAUAAAAUAUACAUACUCAUAAGACAUAUAUUGUAUAGUCAAACCAUGGAUCCAAAGAAAUAAAUCAAUAAGUCAAAUCAAGAUGUGCAUGUGUGGUGAAUGAAUGGUGUAUGGUGAUGAUGGUGAUAACAAUGGUGGAAGUCUAAUUCUACUUUUGCUCUUUGAGGGGAUACAUACCUUCCUUGCUCUCUGAAACUUUGUGAGGAGAAUGAGAUACUCUAUCUUUUCUUUUUCUUUUCUCUCAGGUGGGUAUCUUGUACCCCUAAUUCUACUGUCGGAUACUUGUCUAUUUUUACCUCUCGUCUCACUUUUUCUUUUCUUUCGAGGAUCCGGGCACUUGCCCCUUUUUAUUUCCUCGUAUACUUUUUUCUCUCUUUUUUUAGAGCACUCAUCUCAUGAGAUAAUAUAGCAAGUGGUAGUAACCAAGAUAACUUGAGCAUUUAUUUCACAAGGAAAAACAGAAAUAUUUUUGGCCAUUCUCUCCCGGAUUAGGAGUAGAAUAUUUUUGGGUGGUUUUGAAGAUGGAAAUGGAUGGAUAUAUGUGGAUGGUACUUCCGGAGUAGAAGUAGCAUGUGGGAGUGAACGUGCAAGUGAAUCUUGAUUUAACCACAUGACAAGCUUCUAAGGGUCUACACAACUUGACCACACUCAAUGCUCAUAAGAUGUAAAAAGUAAAUGUCUGGCUCAAAAUCUAGCAAGCAUGUAUAUAUGGCUGUGGUAGGAAUUUAAACUCUCAUCAUACAGGAACUCAUCAUGUAAUAUUUUAAAUAUUUUAAAAGAUAAAAUUCUCCAGAAUUUCUAGCAUCUCUCGGAACAGAUAAACAUCAGCUCAACCUUCCCAUAUCGUAUCUGUUAACAACUUAGACUUCAGAUCAAGUUUUCAUCCCACAAGUUUAGGUUUAGAGCAAGCUUUAAAUUAUAACAGUUAUGUCUAAACUUGAGAGAGAACUGCAAAUUUUAAAAUUAGACAGAGCAACUAUUCAUCAUAUCCAUGCUAGAGUUUAAUUUAGAUAUAGUUUAGCAUAGCCACUUUAUUUAUUUAUUAAACACACUAAGCAAGAGACAUAUAUUUAUAUAAGCAUAAAAUAUUUAUUUGGCUUUCCAUAGUUAUGUAUAUUUAAAUUCUAAUAUAAUAUAAGUAUAAAGAUAGGUAGAAAUACUUAUCGGGAUAAAUGGGGGUGCUCUCCCCCAAGCUGAAUUUUAACGUAAUUUCUCUUGAUGUAGCUAGCAGGUGGCAGAGGUGUAUUUGAAAGUCAGCAGCAUUCUGACAGCGAUUAGAAUGUCCUCCGUCUGCUAGUCUUCUUGAUUCUUGAUUUAUGUGGAGCUCAAAUAGACAACAAAGCUUUGUGGAACUGAUUAAGUGUUAGCAUAAGUAUCUAGCCUUCAUCAUGUCGAGCCUCCUUAGUAUUACUUCCUGUUUUUAUAUUUUCAUUUUAUAAAGCAGAAAAGAAAUAUUUAUUUUAUUUUUAUGCCACCACAGUGAAUGUACUUAUGGGUUUCAUGCCACUCAUAUACUCACAUGGGGCUUGCUGUUUUAACAUUUUUAUUUUCUUUUUAGGAUAGUAUGAUCAUAACUAAUUAAGUAAAAUAAUUGAAAGGGAAAGGAUAACUACCAAGUUUACCUCUUAGCAAGGCGUUCGGUGUUUUUAAGUCCUCCGAAGGGGACUCUCCAUUUUCUUCAAUUGUCCUGUGAUUCGUUGGGUGGUGUAGUCGGUACUUCCGGCAGCGCUCCUCUUCGUGUAUGGUUAUCUUCUCUCUCCACACCUGACUCGGUGCUUCAGUCUCCUCAGGAUAAUUCUAUUUAAACUGUAUGUCUUCUGACCUUACUACUUCUCCUUCGUAGUCUGCCCAUCCGUCCUUGAUGAUUUGCCUCCUCUGGUUGCGGUUGCGUCGCUUUCUGACCUGCUUAGAUUUUCAACGAUAUAGUUAGGGUCAGUAAAAUAGCGGCGUACCUUCUCUGAGGGGAAGUGCAUAUGGACUUCUCUAGUUCCAAUGUAGAUGAUUGCUUUAACGGUGCUGAGGAACGGUCUUUCAAGGAUGAUGGGUGGAUCAUACUCGUCUUCUCCCAUGUCAAUAACCUGAAAGUCUGUGUAGACAAAAUGAUCGUCUAUUUUGACUGGGACAUUAGUUACCGUUCCUCUCGAAACGUCUGAUCUGCCAUCUGGAGUAGAAUGUAUGUUGGUUUUAAGGGCAUGGUUCCGAACAAGAGCCGAUAGGUGACUGCGGCCAUUAUGUUGACGCCCGAUCCGGUGUCGCAAGUUGUCUUGUAGAAGUUGUAUCCAUUUAUAGAGCAAUAGAUGCUUGUCAUUCCUGCGUCAUCCUUCUUGGUCAGACACGGUGACUUAAGUUGAUGAUCUUGACCUCCAUGAAUUGUAGUGACCAUCUUAGCUGACUCGGUCCACACUUGCUUGUUCCUGUUCCUCCUGUUGGUCCUCUUCCUUGAUUCACGUCUGGAUUGAUCUGGAAUUUGUGUAGUCUUGUUCUUGAAGGAAAACGUCUCCUUUCUCCCUUUGAUGUAGAAACUGAUCUUGGCAGCACUAGCGUAGAUGACAGCUCCCACGGUGUUUAAGAAUGGCCUCCCUAAGAUGAUGGGUGCUCUCUCAUCAUUAUCGGUCUCUAUCACCACGAAGUCUGCUAGGGCGUACAAGGUACCAACUCGGACACAAAGAUUCUUCAAUAUUCCCUUUGGAAAACUUAAUGCCUGAUCUGCAAACUGCAAACACAUGGUUGUUUCUAAUAAAGGAUAUGUAAAGAAUUUUUCAUAGAGUAGCCUGGGUAUAAUGUUGACACUAGAGCCAAAGUCGCACAGUGCUUCUAGGACAUCCACCAUGCCGAUGGAGAUCGGGAUGACGGGGCAUCCUGGAUCACCUCUCUUGACCGGCAGAAGGUCAGUAGUAACUUCAAUGACGAGGUUACUCCAAUUACCUGCAUCAAACAUGUCUACAAGAUUUGCAGAUUCUAAUCCUUCCGGUUGUGAUGGUAUACCGGGGUUAGUAGUCGGAACAGCAGCAGCUAUUUGAUUUAGCUGAGAUUCAAUCAUUUUAUUAAAGCUAAUUUGAUUCUUGAUGGCAGUAGAGAAAUUAUCCAUUCUAUUAUUUAUAUUUUCUAGCAUUUUAUCAUUAGAUGCCAAUUUCUUAGAUAGGUUAUCCAUUAGCUUUCCUUGAUUAGACACUAACUCUCUCAGAGGUGGAAAAUUAUUAUUAUUGUUGUAAGAAUUGUUACCUUGAUAAUUACCUGAGUAGUUAGGCCUCUGUUGAUUCCAACCUUGAUUUUGCUGAGGACGGUUAUAGUAGUUGUUGUUAUUGUUGAUGUAGUUCACAUCCUCAAGCAUCUCAGGUCAUGUGAGUGUCGUAGAUGUGCAUAACUUCUUUCUUAUCUCCAGCUCUAUCAUCGAGCUUCUUCAUGAGGAGGUCUAGCUUUGCAGAUAGCAUGUCUACCUCCUUGAGCUGAUGCAUACCUCCACCUUUCUUGUGUGUCUGGGUCCUCUCUUCAUUCUAGCCUUGAUUGGAUGCCAUCUUCUCCACAAGAGUUGUGGCUUGUGAAAUAGUGAGUGAUAAGAAUGCUCCUCCAGCUGCAGCAUCCAUGGUCUCUCGGGCACUGUUGCCGAGCCCAUGAUAAAAUGUCUGCAUUAGUAGCCAACUCUCCAUUCCAUGAUGGGGACAUUCUCGGAUGUAGUCUUGGAAGCGCUCCCAUGCUUCUGGAACGGAUUCAUCAUGUUGUUGUUGAAAACUUGUAAUCUUCCCACGGAGAGCAUUGGUCUUGCCCAUGGGAAAGAACUUAGCCAGAAAGUUUGUUGAGUAGAGUGCCCACGUAGUAUUCUUCUCCUUUGUAGCGUAGAGCCACUGCUUCGCUCUUCCUAAUAGUGAGAAUGGGAAGAGGCGAAGUAGUAUAGCAUCUCUGGGACUCCUGAUAUGGUAAAUGUGCUGCAAAUCUCCAAAAAGUGUUGGAGAUGAGCACUAGCAUCUUCGUGUGCCUUCCCACAGAACUGGUUGGAUUGCACCAUGUUGAUAAGUCCAGGCUUUGGCUCAAAGUUGCCGUCGAUCUCUACAGGAGGUCCAGUGUGGAUGUUGUCCGUAGUGGGAGCUGAGAACUCGCGGAUUGAUUUGUUUGCCGUGGCUUCGAAUUCUGAAGACAAGUUCCGAUGAUCUUCUUAAUUGGAUGAAGCUUCUUGCUGAAGUGUUGAUGAUCUCUUCUUGAGCUUGGCUCUAGUUUUUCUAAAUAAUGCUUCGAGAUUGUCAACAAAAUUUCUUGGAAGAUGUCUUCUAUUCAUACAUUCCCCUGCAUAAGGUAAAAAUAGAAAAAUAUCGGGGUAAAACUGUAUGAGAGAAUAGAUAAGCUCAAUCACAUUAGUGAUGCGAAUGAUAACUCAAACUUCCAUAUCCAUUCUUGAUUAGUAAUCAACCUUCCCCGGCAACGGCGCCAAAAAUGCUUGUUGGGUAUUCUUAACAUCACUACCAAAAGUAGACUUAGUUUUCUAAUUCUAGUAACGGUGCCAAAAAUGCCAAACCUAUCCCUCAUACCACUUAAGCCAAGUUGUCAUCCCCAACAUGACAUGAGAGACGCGGUAUUGAAAUAUGCAAUUGCUCUUCUAAAUAAAUAAUGAAUGGGAUCUGCAAGUGCACAGAUUAAUACAGAUGUAGCAUUUUAACUAGGAAGUAUUCCAGGUAUCGUUAUUUAUAUUUUUACCACUGGGAAGGGAUUAGUAAUCAUCAAUAUUGAUUACAGAAUAGAAUAUAAGAUUGAGUAUCUAUCAUUGCAUGUAUAAUUGAGAACAUUUAUCUAACUCUUUCAUACAGGGAUAAGUGUCACAUAAAAUAUACAUGAAGUAAUGAAUAGUGACAAAGAUAAUUAAUCUGAUCAGCAUACUUAGCCACAUAAUAAAUAUGAUAAGCACCUCAAUUAGAUACUCUAGGAAGUCAUUAGCAUGGAAUUAGAACGAACUACAAGAAUAUUUCCUAAGCUAUUCUCAACUAUAUAGUCUAGCAUUAUCAUAGUUAGUGCAAGCAUACUUAGCAAUCAUUGCGAGACAAGACUACGCCCAUGCAUAGUGAAAUUAACAAGGUAAAUGAGAAACAUAGCAAUCACUUCCCUAUGAUAAUGUUGCUCUGCUAGCCCAAUACACGAGAGGGGGACUAUAUAAGAAUCAAUGAAGCUGUCACUAUCACGAACUACCCUGCGAUCUGGCAUAUUGGGUACAAUCGCAGAUAAAUACGGUAUAAGCACUAUGCCUACACAAUAUCUAUCAUUUACCCAUGGAUCCGAUGGAUAAACGCUAUACGAUCCUAAGCAUGUAUAUAGAUCCAAUCUAACUAAGCCAAGUACAUAACUAUGAUAAACUAAGAACAAUAUAAUCUUGAAUAUAAGCAAGUAGAGCAAAGUCAUAAGCAAUAUAAUGAAGUAGAACAAAGUCAUAUUCAUAACAUUGAAGAACAAAGAUAAUUAGAGAACAAUUAGAAGCACAAUUAGAGAAUUACCAAGAAUCCUCUUGACACAUCCGGAAACCAAUCGAAGAUUGACUCCUUCUAGUUCUAAUCCUAUGUAGCUAUGCUAAUCUAGAUGUCUAAUUGAUGUGGUGGCUCUAAUCUUGAUGAAGGGCUUCUUCUCCCUUGAGGAAUAAUGAAUUAGGGUUGAGAGGCUCUCUCCUCUAGGGGCCAGGGGGUCUGGUUUUACUGUCCCUUCAAGUGAAUAUGGGCUGUUGGAUCAAACCGACAUUGAUUGAACGGUUAUCCUUGAUCCUUUAGGUUAGUGGAGAUAUUUCUCGAAAGAGAGUCCUGAUCCAACUCCAGGAGGGGGCGGGCGCCAAGUGCCUGGCCCCGUUCGGCCUCCGCUUCCUUUCCGUGGCUUCUGGAGUCUUCUAGAUGUAAGAUAAUUGCACGACACGUUGAUAUCUCUAUGUAAUUCCGACGUGUGGGCCUUUCUUCCUUAUUUCCUGAUAACCCCCUGUAGAAAUAGACAAACACCAAAACUCAUCAAAUUCUGUCAGAUAAAACCCUAAGUCUAGAUGUUGAUUUCAUUUGGAUCCUUUUCUUUAUUUAUUUGAUAAUUAAAUUUGAUACCUAAGGACUGUCAACUGUCAUCUACCUCCCUUGGACCAACCUCCUUCGAAUAUCCCCUCUCCAGCCGGGACAAAUCGACCAGUGGGUAGUGGGCGCGUACCAUGCUGAGGACGUGCGCUCCGAUAAACUCCCCGGCAUCCUUGACGAACUGCUGAAGCUAGCCCCACGCUUCCUGUGCCUUCUCGACCGGGGUUAGCUUCGGCGUGCGGGGCUGGUCCUCGGGGAGCUCGGGACUGAUUAGGUCAAGUACUGGGGCAACUCCUUUCCAGAUCUUGAUGGAGUUCAUCUUCUAGGAGUCCCGUUUGUUGACCAACUCGUCGAGGUGCUUCUUAGUGUUGACUUUAAGCACUACGAUAAAAACCAAGCAGACAAUUAGCAACAUGCUACGGCAGUAUAAAAAAGAGGAAGAAAAAACCGCAUGGUCGAAAAGGGCGAAACGGCUCUUACCAGCCAACUCCCGAUUCUUGAUCUUCAGCUCCUCGCCAACCUUGCGCCCGGUCUCCAGUGCACUGGCACGCUCCUGGUCGAGCUGGUCUCUCUCUUUUCAGAGACGCUCGACCUCCUCCUCCAGGCCUGAAGCAACAAUUGUUGGUCACCAAAUUCGACCACGCGGUUAACUACAACUGCUCGGGUCACUCGACUUACCUCUCUUCUCACAGUCCUUAUCGGCUAGUCACCGAUUCAGGUCCAGCAGAUGCUCCUCCUGAGCCGCCUUCUCGGCCGCCUCCUUUUCGGCCUCCAGCCGAAGGCGGUCCACCUCUGCGGUCAUGGCCUUGUUCUCGACGACCACACCUUCAAUUUGGUCGAAGCACCUUUUUCAGUACUUCGCCGUUUUCACACCCUGUGAAAAAUAUACACGUCACAUAGUGAACAAGCAACAAUAUAUACAUACUCCAGCAGAACGUAAGACCACUCACCUUAACUUCAUCAACAAGCCGCUUAGCAGCGCGCUCUACUCUCGCCGCCUCCUCGGUCUCGGCGAUUUCCUCAUGGCCGGCCCAGUGUUGGGUAUUCUUAACAUCAUUACCAAAAGUAGACUUAGUUUUCUAAAUCUAGUAACGGUGCCAAAAAUGCCAAACCUAUCCCUCACACCACUUAAGCCAAGUUGUCAUCCCCAGCAUGACAUGAGAGACGCGGUAUUGAAAUAUGCAAUUCUCUUCUAAAUAAAUAAUGAAUGGGAUCUGCAAGCGCACAGAUUAAUACCGAUGUAGCAUUUUAACCGGGAAGUAUUCCAGGUAUCGUUAUUUAUAUUUUUACCACUGGGAAGGGAUUAACAAUCAUCACUAUUGAUUACAGAAUAGAAUAUGAGAUUGAGUAUCUAUCAUUUCAUGUAUAAUUGAGAACAUUUAUCUAACUCUUGCAUACAGGGAUAAGUGUCACGUAAAGGAUAUAUGAAAUAAUGAAUAGUGACAAAGAUAAUUAAUGCGAUCAUAACUAGCCACAUAAUAAAUAUGAUAAGCACCUCAAUUAGAUACUCUAGAAAGUCAUUAGCAUGGAAUUAGAACGAACUACAAGAAUAAUUCCUAAGUUAUUCUCAACUAUAUAGUCUAGCAUUAUCAUAGUUAGUGCAAGCAUACUUAGCAAUCAUUGCGAGACAAGACUACGCCCAUGCAUAGUGAUAUUAGCAAGGAAUAUGAGAAACAUAGCAAUCACUCCCCUGUAAUAAUAUUGCUCUGCCAGCCCAAUACACGAGAGGGGGACUAUAUAAGAAUCAAUGAAGUUGUCACUAUCACGAACUACCCCACGGUCUGGCAUAUUGGGUACAAUCGCAGAUAAAUACGGUAUAAGCACCACGCCUACACAAUAUCUAUCAUUUACCCAUGGUUCCGAUGGAUAAACGCUAUACGAUCCUAAGCAUGUAUAUAGAUCCAAUCUAACUAAGCCAAGUACAUAACUAUGAUAAACUAAGAACAAUAUAAUCUUGAAUAUAAGCAAGUAGAGCAAAGUCAUAAGCAAUAUAAUGAAGUAGAACAAAGUCAUAUUCAUAACAUUGAAGAACAAAGAUAAUUAGAGAACAAUUAGAAGCACAAUUAGAGAAUUACCAAGAAUCCUCUUGACACAUCCGGAAACCAAUCGAAGAUUGACUCCUUCUAGUUCUAAUCCUAUGUAGCUAUGCUAAUCUAGAUGUCUAAUUGAUGUGGUGGCUCUAAUCUUGAUGAAGGGCUUCUUCUCCCUUGAGGAAUAAUGAAUUAGGGUUGAGAGGCUCUCUCCUCUAGGGGCCAGGGGGUCUGGUUUUACUGUCCCUUCAAGUGAAUAUGGGCUGUUGGAUCAAACCGACAUUGAUUGAACGGUUAUCCUUGAUCCUUUAGGUCAGUGGAGAUAUUUCUCGAAAGAGAGUCCUGAUCUAACUCCAGGAGGGGGCGGGCGCCAAGUGCCUGGCCCCGUUCGGCCUCCGCUUCCUUUCCGUGGCUUCUGGAGUCUUCUAGAUGUAAGAUAAUUGCACGACACGUUGAUAUCUCUAUGUAAUUCCGACGUGUGGGCCUUUCUUCCUUAUUUCCUGAUAACCCCCUGUAGAAAUAGACAAACACCAAAACUCAUCAAAUUCUGUCAGAUAAAACCCUAAGUCUAGAUGUUGAUUUCAUUUGGAUCCUUUUCUUUAUUUAUUUGAUAAUUAAAUUUGAUACCUAAGGACUGUCAACUGUCAUCUACCUCCCUUGGACCAACCUCCUUCGAAUAUCCCCUCUCCAGCCGGGACAAAUCGACCAGUGGGUAGUGGGCGCGUACCAUGCUGAGGACGUGCGCUCCGAUAAACUCCCCGGCAUCCUUGACGAACUGCUGAAGCUAGCCCCACGCUUCCUGUGCCUUCUCGACCGGGGUUAGCUUCGGCGUGCGGGGCUGGUCCUCGGGGAGCUCGGGACUGAUUAGGUCAAGUACUGGGGCAACUCCUUUCCAGAUCUUGAUGGAGUUCAUCUUCUAGGAGUCCCGUUUGUUGACCAACUCGUCGAGGUGCUUCUUAGUGUUGACUUUAAGCACUACGAUAAAAACCAAGCAGACAAUUAGCAACAUGCUACGGCAGUAUAAAAAAGAGGAAGAAAAAACCGCAUGGUCGAAAAGGGCGAAACGGCUCUUACCAGCCAACUCCCGAUUCUUGAUCUUCAGCUCCUCGCCAACCUUGCGCCCGGUCUCCAGUGCACUGGCACGCUCCUGGUCGAGCUGGUCUCUCUCUUUUCAGAGACGCUCGACCUCCUCCUCCAGGCCUGAAGCAACAAUUGUUGGUCACCAAAUUCGACCACGCGGUUAACUACAACUGCUCGGGUCACUCGACUUACCUCUCUUCUCACAGUCCUUAUCGGCUAGUCACCGAUUCAGGUCCAGCAGAUGCUCCUCCUGAGCCGCCUUCUCGGCCGCCUCCUUUUCGGCCUCCAGCCGAAGGCGGUCCACCUCUGCGGUCAUGGCCUUGUUCUCGACGACCACACCUUCAAUUUGGUCGAAGCACCUUUUUCAGUACUUCGCCGUUUUCACACCCUGUGAAAAAUAUACACGUCACAUAGUGAACAAGCAACAAUAUAUACAUACUCCAGCAGAACGUAAGACCACUCACCUUAACUUCAUCAACAAGCCGCUUAGCAGCGCGCUCUACUCUCGCCGCCUCCUCGGUCUCGGCGAUUUCCUCAUGGCCGGCCCAGUGUUGGGUAUUCUUAACAUCAUUACCAAAAGUAGACUUAGUUUUCUAAAUCUAGUAACGGUGCCAAAAAUGCCAAACCUAUCCCUCACACCACUUAAGCCAAGUUGUCAUCCCCAGCAUGACAUGAGAGACGCGGUAUUGAAAUAUGCAAUUCUCUUCUAAAUAAAUAAUGAAUGGGAUCUGCAAGCGCACAGAUUAAUACCGAUGUAGCAUUUUAACCGGGAAGUAUUCCAGGUAUCGUUAUUUAUAUUUUUACCACUGGGAAGGGAUUAACAAUCAUCACUAUUGAUUACAGAAUAGAAUAUGAGAUUGAGUAUCUAUCAUUUCAUGUAUAAUUGAGAACAUUUAUCUAACUCUUGCAUACAGGAUAAGUGUCACGUAAAGGAUAUAUGAAAUAAUGAAUAGUGACAAAGAUAAUUAAUGCGAUCAUAACUAGCCACAUAAUAAAUAUGAUAAGCACCUCAAUUAGAUACUCUAGAAAGUCAUUAGCAUGGAAUUAGAACGAACUACAAGAAUAAUUCCUAAGUUAUUCUCAACUAUAUAGUCUAGCAUUAUCAUAGUUAGUGCAAGCAUACUUAGCAAUCAUUGCGAGACAAGACUACGCCCAUGCAUAGUGAUAUUAGCAAGGAAUAUGAGAAACAUAGCAAUCACUCCCCUGUAAUAAUAUUGCUCUGCCAGCCCAAUACACGAGAGGGGGACUAUAUAAGAAUCAAUGAAGUUGUCACUAUCACGAACUACCCCACGGUCUGGCAUAUUGGGUACAAUCGCAGAUAAAUACGGUAUAAGCACCACGCCUACACAAUAUCUAUCAUUUACCCAUGGUUCCGAUGGAUAAACGCUAUACGAUCCUAAGCAUGUAUAUAGAUCCAAUCUAACUAAGCCAAGUACAUAACUAUGAUAAACUAAGAACAAUAUAAUCUUGAAUAUAAGCAAGUAGAGCAAAGUCAUAAGCAAUAUACUGAAGUAGAACAAAGUCAUAUUCAUAAUAUUGAAGAACAAAGAUGAUUAGAAAGCAAUUAGAAGCACAAUUAGAGAAUUACCAAGAAUCCUCUUGACAGAUCCGGAAACCAAUCGAAGAUUGACUCCUUCUAGUUCUAAUCCUAUGUAGCUAUGCUAAUCUAGAUAUCUAAUUGAUGUGGUGGCUCUAAUCUUGAAUAGGGGCUUCUUCUCCCUUGAGAAUAAUGAAUUAGGGUUGAGAGGCUCUCUCGUCCAGGGGCCAGGGGGUCUGGUUUUAUAGUCCCUUCAAGUGAAUAUGGGUCGUUGGAUCAAACCGACAUUGAUUGAACGGUUAUCCUUGAUCCAUUAGGUCGGUGGAGAUCUCCCACGAAGCAGAGUCCUGAUUGGACUCUCAGAGGGGGCGGGCGCCCUGCCUCUGGCCCCAUUUUGCCUCUGCUUCGGUCUCAUGGCUUCUGGAGUCUUCUAGAUGUAAGAUAAUUGCGCGGCACGUUACUCUCUAUGUAAUCCCGACGUGUGGGCCUUUCUUCCGUAUUUCCUGAUAACCCCCUGCGGAAAUAGACAAACACCAAAACUCGUGGAAUUCUGUCAGAUGAAACCCUAAGUCUAGAUGUUGAUUUCAUUUGGAUCCUUUUCUUUAUUUAUUUGAUAAUUAAAUUUGAUACUUAAGGACCGUCAACAAACUCCCCCAAGCUUACCUCUUGCUCGUCCCUGAGCAAGGAUAGACUCAGCGAUGGAUCAGAAGUUGUUGCAAUACUUUUAAAAAUUGACGGUACACAUGCUUUUAAAUGAGGUCUCAUCUCUGAGUUAGAGUAAACUGUCAAGACUUAAAACUUAUUCACUUUACCUUUCACCAUGGGACUUGUAACCGUCUCUUCUGUCUUCAGUAGUUAAAAGAUAGAACAGUCUAGUCAAGUGCCAUGUCUCUUAUUCUUGAUCAGCUAUAGCUCUGGAGUUUUUGCAGAUUUUCAAAUAAAACUCAGAGAUUCCUUGUAUGACUCUCUCAUAUCUCUCUUUUGUGGUAUUUCUGGAUCCUUACCAAGGCAAUGAUGGUAUAUGCCUUCUCUCAAAAAGUAUGUAGUAUUUGUGGUAUAAGGCAUAGUAACAUUGCCUUCUCUCUUACCGUACUCUAAUAAGGCUUUAAUAUCUGGAGCUCAUAGGUGGGAGAUAAAAGUAUACAUACUUACAAGACAUUUAUUGUAUAGUCAAACCAUGGAUCCAAAAAAACAAAUCAAUAAGUCAAAUCAAGAUGUGCAUGUGUGGCGAAUGAAUGGUGUAUGGUGAUGAUAGUGAUAACAAUGGUGGAAGUCUAAUUCUACUUUUGCUCUUUGAGGGGAUACAUACCUUCUUUGCUUUUUGAAACAUUUUGAGGAGAAUGAGAUGCUCUUCUUUUUUUCCUUUUCUCUCAGGUGGGUAUCUUGUACCCCUAAUUCUACUGUCGGACACUUGUCCAUUUUUAUCUCUCGUCUCACUUUUUCUUUUCUUUCGAGGUUCUGGGCACUUGCCCCUUUUUAUUUCCUCGUAUCUUUAUUUUUUCUCUUUUUUUCAGAGCACUCAUCUCUUGCGAUAAUAUAGCAAGUGGUAGUAACAAGAUAACUUGAGCAUUUAUUUCACAGGGAAAAACAGAAAUAUUUUUUGCUAUUCUCUCUCGGAUCAGGAGUAGAAUAAUUUUAGGUGCUUCUAGAGAUGGAAAUGGAUGGAUAUAUGUGGAUGGUACUUCCAGAGUAGAAGUAGCAUAUAUGAGUGAACGUGCAAGUGAAUCUUGAUUUUAACUACAUGACAAGCUCCUAAGGGUCUACACAGCUUGACCACAUUCAAUGCUCAUAAGCAGUAAAUAGUAAAUGUGUGGCUCAAAGUCCAUAUAUAUAUGGCUGUGGUAGGAAUUUAAACUCUCAUCAUACAGGAACUCAUUAUGCAACAUUUUAAAGAUUUUCAAAGAUAAAAUUCUCCAGAAUUCUAGCAUCUCUAGGAACAGAUAAACAGCAGCUCAACCUUCCCAUAUCGUAUCCGUUAACAACUUAGACUUCAGAUCAAGUUUUCAUCCCACAAGUUUAGGUCUAGAGCAAGCUUUAAAUUAUAACAGUUUUCUGAACUUGAGAGAGAACUUAAAAUGUACAAAUUAGGCA
rnacentral:lncRNA from 1 species